UCGUAACACGAACCGGUGCUAAAGGAUCCUGCCUAACGGUGCUGUCAGGGCAGGGACCCUUUAGCACCGGUUUGUGUUCUGAA
rnacentral:pre_miRNA from 1 species